CAGUCGCCACGGUAAAACGUAGGGGGCGAGCGUUGUCCGAAUUUACUGGGCGUAAAGAGCAUUAAGGCGGUUUCUUAAGUGCGAGGUGGAAGGUUCAGGGCUCAACCCGAACACUGCCUUGCAUACUGGGAGACUUGAGUACGGGAGAGGCGAAUGGAAUUUCUGGUGUAGCGGUGAAAUGCGUAGAUAUCAGAAGGAACACCCAUGGCGAAGGCAGUUCGCUGGCCUGUAACUGACGCUGUAGUGCGAAAGCGUGGGGAGCAAACAGGAUUAGAUACCCCAGUAGUCCCUGUCUCUUAUA
rnacentral:rRNA from 1 species